CCUACGGGAGGCAGCAGUGGGGAAUAUUGCACAAUGGGGGAAACCCUGAUGCAGCGACGCCGCGUGGAGGAAGAAGGUCUUCGGAUUGUAAACUCCUGUUGUUGAGGAAGAUAAUGACGGUACUCAACAAGGAAGUGACGGCUAACUACGUGCCAGCAGCCGCGGUAAAACGUAGGUCACAAGCGUUGUCCGGAAUUACUGGGUGUAAAGGGAGCGCAGGCGGGAAGACAAGUUGGAAGUGAAAUCCAUGGGCUCAACCCAUGAACUGCUUUCAAAACUGUUUUUCUUGAGUAGUGCAGAGGUAGGCGGAAUUCCCGGUGUAGCGGUGGAAUGCGUAGAUAUCGGGAGGAACACCAGUGGCGAAGGCGGCCUACUGGGCACCAACUGACGCUGAGGCUCGAAAGUGUGGGUAGCAAACAGGAUUAGAUACCCUGGUAGUCCACACCGUAAACGAUGAUUACUAGGUGUUGGAGGAUUGACCCCUUCAGUGCCGCAGUUAACACAAUAAGUAAUCCACCUGGGGAGUACGACCGCAAGGUUGAAACUCAAAGGAAUUGACGGGGGCCCGCACAAGCAGUGGAGUAUGUGGUUUAAUUCGACGCAACGCGAAGAACCUUACCAAGUCUUGACAUCCCUUGACGAUGCUGGAAACAGUAUUUCUCUUCGGAGCAAGGAGACAGGUGGUGCAUGGUUGUCGUCAGCUCGUGUCGUGAGAUGUUGGGUUAAGUCCCGCAACGAGCGCAACCCUUAUGGUCAGUUACUACGCAAGAGGACUCUGGCCAGACUGCCGUUGACAAAACGGAGGAAGGUGGGGAUGACGUCAAAUCAUCAUGCCCUUUAUGACUUGGGCUACACACGUACUACAAUGGCGUUAAACAAAGAGAAGCAAGACCGCGAGGUGGAGCAAAACUCAGAAACAACGUCCCAGUUCGGACUGCAGGCUGCAACUCGCCUGCACGAAGUCGGAAUUGCUAGUAAUCGUGGAUCAGCAUGCCACGGUGAAUACGUUCCCGGGCCUUGUACACACCGCCCGUCACACCAUGAGAGCCGGGGGGACCCGAAGUCGGUAGUCUAACCGCAAGGAGGACGCCGCCGAAGGUAAAACUGGUGAUUGGGGUGAAGUCGUAACAAGGUAGCCGUAGGAGAACCUGCGGCUG
rnacentral:rRNA from 1 species